CUUCAACGACCCCAUCAACAACGGCGCCGAACGAUCCUGCCCAUACGUGGCCAGGACCGCCUGCGCCUC
rfam:Actinoplanes sp. N902-109, complete genome.